UACGGAGGAUGCGAGCGUUAUCCGGAUUUAUUGGGUUUAAAGGGUGCGUAGGCGGACUGAUAAGUCAGCGGUAAAAUUGCGGGGCUCAACCCCGGCGAGCCGUUGAGACUGUCGGACUAGAGACGGCGAGAAGUAGGCGGAAUGCGCAGUGUAGCGGUGAAAUGCUUAGAUAUUGCGCAGAACUCCGAUUGCGAAGGCAGCCUUCCGGCGCCGGCCUGACGCUGAGGCACGAAAGCGUGGGUAUCGAACAGG
rnacentral:rRNA from 1 species